rnacentral:rRNA from 1 species
UACAGAGGUCUCAAGCGUUGUUCGGAUUCGUUGGGCGUAAAGGGUGCGUAGGUGGCGCUGUAAGUCGGGUGUGAAAUUUCGGAGCUUAACUCCGAAACUGCAUUCGAUACUGCGGUGCUUGAGGACUGGAGAGGAGACUGGAAUUCAUGGUGUAGCAGUGAAAUGCGUAGAGAUCAUGAGGAAGACCAGUGGCGAAGGCGGGUCUCUGGACAGUUCCUGACACUGAGGCACGAAGGCCAGGGGAGCAAACGGG